rnacentral:lncRNA from 1 species
GUGAAUGUGUGCAAGUUUGUGUGCAAGGCAGUGAACUGGAAAGAUAGGGAAAAAUGACUAUAGGCGCGGGUACGCCUACACUGCCCAGGUGUGGAAAAGUGCAGGGCUGAGGGCACUCAUUUCUGUGACAGUGCGCACGUCCCGCGCUUUUACGCACGGUCUCUUUGCAGUAAUGCAUAAACGUUGUUUUGGUGUUAUGACACUAGCUUACUCGAUAUUUUACAACUAAUAAAAAAGAAGAAAUUAAAGAUGUUUACAUUUGGUUUAUGGCUAGAGCUUGUGGUAAAGCGAAUUACAAUUCCAUUCCGGUUCUAAACAAUGUGUUAUGACGUAUCCAUCUCUAUGCGACCGAGAGGGUCACAAUGCCGACGCUUCACAUGGAACUCCAGAACCCAAGAGAUAUGUUCAGAACUCUCAAAAAAUCUUCAGUUCUUGAUCGACAAACAACGAGAGAGACAGCAUUAUUAUGGCGAGCUUUUCAUUCAUCUUCCCUGAAGACAGACAUUGUUCCAUUAAGGACAACGAAGUCAAUUCAGGGUGGAUGUCAAUGGUGACCCAGCUCAACGCCCUUGGCGGUCCAGAGUCAGAAGUUCCGUCAGAGCUUUGCAGAGGAACUUGGUGACAAGUACCACUACGCGAAUGCCAUCGACAGCUCUCUGCUCUGGACUGUUGGGUACACCCCCUACAUUCCUGCAGCUCUGAAAGGAAGAAGCUUCCCCUCUGUCGAGAGCUUCUUCCUGGAUGAGUGGGAGCCACUGACAUUCCUGCAGACUCCUCAGGUUCUGUCCACCAGUGUUUCCAUCGAGGAAGACAACCUGAUCCAAUCUACUGCAGGCCUAGUGUCUCAGGAUCUGUCCACCAGUGUUGCCAUCGUGGAGAAUGAC